rnacentral:rRNA from 1 species
UACGGAGGGAGCUAGCGUUGUUCGGAAUUACUGGGCGUAAAGCGCGCGUAGGCGGCUUUGUAAGUUAGAGGUGAAAGCCCGGGGCUCAACUCCGGAAUUGCCUUUAAGACUGCAUCGCUUGAAUCCGGGAGAGGUGAGUGGAAUUCCGAGUGUAGAGGUGAAAUUCGUAGAUAUUCGGAAGAACACCAGUGGCGAAGGCGGCUCACUGGACCGGUAUUGACGCUGAGGCGCGAAGGCUAGGGGAGCGAACGGG